AAAUUAUGUUGUGGACACUUUCUUAGGAGAUCAUUAUAUCUUUCCCAUGCAUCAUGGAACUGUUCUCUUGGGAUUUGGGAAAAUGCCGUGAUUUCUCUUCUCAUGU